UACGAAGGGGGCUAGCGUUGCUCGGAAUCACUGGGCGUAAAGGGCGCGUAGGCGGGCCUUUAAGUCCGGGGUGAAAUCCUGGAGCUCAACUCCAGAACUGCCUUUGAUACUGAAGAUCUUGAGUUCGGGAGAGGUGAGUGGAACUGCGAGUGUAGAGGUGAAAUUCGUAGAUAUUCGCAAGAACACCAGUGGCGAAGGCGGCUCACUGGCCCGGUACUGACGCUGAGGUGCGAAAGCGUGGGGAGCAAACAGG
rnacentral:rRNA from 1 species